UGCUGGAUGCUGACGAGCGGCGGACGGGUGAGUAAUGCAUAGGAAUCUGCCCGAUAGUGGGGGAUAACCUGGGGAAACCCAGGCUAAUACCGCAUACGUCCUACGGGAGAAAGGGGGCUCCGGCUCCCGCUAUGGGAUGAGCCUAUGUCGGAUUAGCUAGUUGGUGAGGUAACGGCUCACCAAGGCCACGAUCCGUAGCUGGUCUGAGAGGAUGAUCAUCCACAUCGGGACUGAGACACGGCCCGAACUCCUACGGGAGGCAGCAGUGGGGAAUAUUGGACAAUGGGGGAAACCCUGAUCCUGCCAUGUCGCGUGUGUGAAGAAGGGCCUCG
rnacentral:rRNA from 1 species